rnacentral:rRNA from 1 species
UACAGAGGUCUCGAGCGUUAGGCGGAAUCACUGGGCUUAAAGCGUGUGUAGGCGGUUGGGUAAGUCUGACGUGAAAUCUCCGGGCCUAACCCGGAAACUGCGUUGGAUACUACCUGACUAGAGGAAUGGAGGGGAGACUGGAAUACUUGGUGUAGCAGUGAAAUGCGUAGAUAUCAAGUGGAACACCAGUGGCGAAGGCGAGUCUCUGGACAUUUCCUGACGCUGAGGCACGAAAGCCAGGGGAGCAAACGGG